rnacentral:rRNA from 1 species
AUUGAACGCUGGCGGCAGGCCUAACACAUGCAAGUCGAGCGGAUGAAGGGAGCUUGCUCCUGGAUUCAGCGGCGGACGGGUGAGUAAUGCCUAGGAAUCUACCUGGUAGUGGGGGAUAACGUCCGGAAACGGGCGCUAAUACCGCAUACGUCCUGAGGGAGAAAGUGGGGGAUCUUCGGACCUCACGCUAUCAGAUGAGCCUAGGUCGGAUUAGCUAGUUGGUGGGGUAACGGCCUACCAAGGCGACUAUCCGUAACUGGUCUGAGAGGAUGAUCAGUCACACUGGAACUGAGACACGGUCCAGACUCCUACGGGAGGCAGCAGUGGGGAAUAUUGGACAAAGGGCGAAAGCCUGAUCCAGCCAUGCCGCGUGUGUGAAGAAGGUCUUCGGAUUGUAAAGCACUUUAAGUUGGGAGGAAGGGCAGUAAGUGAAUACCUUGCUGUUUUGACGUUACCAACAGAAUAAGCACCGGCUAACUUCGUG